GGAAAACAGCUGAAUCUUUGCCAGAAGCCACUAUACAGCCAAUUCGUAGUUGCCAGAAUGCAAAUAAACUAAUGAAAACAAGUUUUUUCAGUGUUCCUUCGGAUAUAAAAGCUGCCAAAAAAUUGAUAACUUUUUGUAGGAUUGAAUAAGGAGCAUAGUCGUCAAAAGCUAUUUGACAUCACAACAUGGCGGCUGGCGUAAUCUUAUAUUCUAACAAUCUUGGUGGUAACCAAUUCACUACCCCACUUGUAAAAUUUCACGUAUUACACCACUACAUAACCACAUCUAACUUUUUGUAGAGUAGCAACAUUCGUCAGGUAAAAUUUUUCAAUGCGAAAGAAAAAGAUGCACACAAAGAAAAUUAAUCUGUCAGAAAUUGCCGCCAUUGAAUCUGCCAUUUAAAGAGCGAAACCAGCAAACGAAGACCAUUGUGAUAUAAAGCGUAAUACUUCUACAAAGAGUUUAUAUGCAUGAAAAGUUUAUAGUGAGGAACCUAUUUGGUAAUAUCUCUACUGUAAGAUGCCCGAUUUUAAUCCAACACUCAAUUUGUCAUAGUUUCUGCGUAUCGAAUUGCAAUAUUACAAGUUUUGGGCAUAGAGACUGCGCGUAAAUCGGUUGAGAAGGAAAUGAAUGAUUUGCUGAAGUUCUACGGCUUGUACGUAAACUAUCAUCCUUUGCCCUUGUGUGAAGUAAUGACAGCUUACUAAAUACAAAUAAGUAAAUUAUAUAACUAUUCUAGAUUUUAUAUAUAAUUGGGGCCAUAUAUAUGCAUAAUAAUAUUUUAUAAGUAUGAAUAAUUCAAUCAUAACUGGCCAAUAUUGUACAUUUCUAUGUUGAAUAUGUAUUUAAACUUUAAUAAUUGGGAUUUUUAUUAAAAAUCGUUUCUUCUGUGUCAUUUUUAGCACAAAAUUGAAAGUGGAAGUUUACUUCAUAUUACUCAAAAAA